CCAGAAAGGAACGGUCUAAUUCCGUGCCAGCAGCCGCGGUAAUACGUAUGUUCCCAAGCGUUAUCCGGAUUUAUUGGGCGUAAAGCGAGCGCAGACGGUUAUUUAAGUCUGAAGUGAAAGCCCUCAGCUCAACUGAGGAAUGGCUUUGGAAACUGGAUGACUUGAGUGCAGUAGAGGAAAGUGGAACUCCAUGUGUAGCGGUGAAAUGCGUAGAUAUAUGGAAGAACACCAGUGGCGAAGGCGGCUUUCUGGACUGUAACUGACGUUGAGGCUCGAAAGUGUGGGUAGCAAACAGGAUUAGAUACCCUGGUAGUCCACACCGUAAACGAUGAGUGCUAGAUGUUCGAGGGUUUCCGCCCUUGAGUGUCGCAGCUAACGCAUUAAGCACUCCGCCUGGGGAGUACGACCGCAAGGUUGAAACUCAAAGGAAUUGACGGGGACCCGCACAAGCGGUGGAGCAUGUGGUUUAAUUCGAAGCAACGCGAAGAACCUUACCAGGUCUUGACAUCCCUUGCUAAUCCUAGAAAUAGGACGUUCCCUUCGGGGACAAGGUGACAGGUGGUGCAUGGUUGUCGUCAGCUCGUGUCGUGAGAUGUUGGGUUAAGUCCCGCAACGAGCGCAACCCUUAUUAUUAGUUGCCAGCAUUCAGUUGGGCACUCUAGUGAGACUGCCGGUGACAAACCGGAGGAAGGUGGGGAUGACGUCAAAUCAUCAUGCCCCUUAUGACCUGGGCUACACACGUGCUACAAUGGCAUAUACAACGAGUCGCCAACCCGCGAGGGUGCGCUAAUCUCUUAAAGUAUGUCUCAGUUCGGAUUGUAGGCUGCAACUCGCCUACAUGAAGUCGGAAUCGCUAGUAAUCGCGGAUCAGCACGCCGCGGUGAAUACGUUCCCGGGUCUUGUACACACCGCCCGUCACACCAUGAGAGUUUGUAACACCCAAAGCCGGUGGGGUAACCUUUUAGGAGCCAGCCGUCUAAGGUGACAGAGAUGCCUUAGG
rnacentral:rRNA from 1 species